CGGGAGCAUACGGGCCGAUUUCUUUUUAAGACAGACAGGAACAUGGGCAGGAUGUUUAUACUGUCAAAUGUAAACAUUUUCUCUAGCCUUCUUUAAAUAAAAAAUCAAGCAAAAAGCACCACAAGAGCCGCUAAUACCCAUUCUGGGGCUAUGCGUCCGUUUUAUGCGGCGCAAACUAUUUGUGAAUCUUUGUUUUAACAUAAAUGUGGAGAUGAAGCCGUAGACAAUUCUGUCUACUUUCUUUUGAAAAAAAUGCUGCCUCGGACCUGCACUUGCUUUGAGAAACUUUGCUAUAUGAAGACGGCUAAUCGAUCUCUCUUGCUGCUCCUCAGACCUGAUCCUGCAGAGCUUGGAGGAAGUGCAGGUAUGUGAAGUACCAGCACCAGGUUACAGCAUCAGGUCACGCUUCGGACCAUUGACCCUUGAUCCCAGCGUCUGUUUAUGUCUCGUGAUUGAUUGGAUAAAUAGUGAUGAGUCAUAUCCCCAAGUGUGUUUAUAUUACAGAGUCACGCAAGGAAGGAAAAGAGCUAUGACCUGCUAAAAGCCAGUGUGAGACAGAAAGAGAGCGAGGUUAUUAAAAUGCUACCUGUUAUUGUUAAUGUUCAUGUUAAUGUUCAUGUUUUUACACCAUCUACUCAACGAUAAAGAUAUUACUGCAUUAGAAGGGAACAUGUAACCGAAUAUGAAUAAAUAUAUCUCCUUCUGCAUAUCUUUUCCUCUCGACUGUGUCUGUAUUGUUCUCAUUCAUGAAUUGUUCAACAACAACAAAU
ensembl:lncRNA